CACGUAGGAGGCGAGCGUUGUCCGGAAUCAUUGGGCGUAAAGAGCGCGCAGGCGGCUUGGCAAGUCGGGUGUGAAAUCCCGGGGCUCAACCCCGUGACUGCAUCCGAUACUGUCAGGCUAGAGGUAGGUAGGGGAGAUCGGAAUUCCUGGUGUAGUGGUGAAAUGCGUAGAUAUCAUGAGGAAUACCAGAGGCGAAGGCGGCUACCUGGACAAUUGCUGACGCUCAGGCACGAAAGCGUGGGGAGCAAAAGGG
rnacentral:rRNA from 1 species